AGGUGAGGAGUGAGGAGUGAGGAUUGAGGAGUGAGGAGGUGAGGAGUGAGGAGUGCGGAGUGAGACGUGAGGAGUGAGGAGUGAGGAGGUGAGGAGUGAGGAGUGAGGCGUGAGGAGGUGAGGAGUGAGGAGAUAAGGAGUGAGGAGUGAGGAGUGAGGAGUGAGGAGGUGAGGUGGUGAGGAAUGAGGAGUGAGGAGGUGAGGAGUGAGGAGGUGAGGAGUGAGGAGGUGAGGAGUGAGGAGUGAGGAGGUGAGGAGUGAGGAGGUGAGGAGUGAGGAGAUGAGGAGUGAGGAGGUGAGGAGAGUGAGGAGUGAGGAGGUGAGGAGUGAGGAGUGAGGAGGUGAGGAGUGAGGAGUGAGGUGUGAGGAGGUGAGGAGGUGAGGAGUGAGGAGACGAGGAUUGAGGACGUGAGGAGUGAGGAGGUGAGGAGUGAGGAGGUGAGGAAUGAGGAGUGAGGAGGUGAGGAGUGAGGAGGUGAGGAGUGAGGAGGUGAGGAAUGAGGAGUGAGGAGGUGAGGAGACUGGCAGGGGCUGACUGAAGCCAUGUCUGUGGGAUCCUGG
rnacentral:lncRNA from 1 species